CCAUAAUCUUAAAUGUUUUCAUUGUCAUAAGUGCAAGAGAUAUCUCCUUCUUGGAAAUUCUAAAUCCACGAUCUGAACACAUCCUUAUGAUCUGAGUGGAU